CUCACCUGUGUCUGAUUACCCUAUGUCUAUUUAGUCUUUGUGUGUCUUCUCUUCUGAGUCAGUUCAUAAGUUGCUAGUGUAUCUUGUUGGACUGUCAGAUUUGCUCGUGCUCCUCUGUGGCUCCUUGUUUUUGAUCCCUGUGUUUUUUGUGGAGCUUUUGGAAUUGAGUUUUGUUGCCUUUCGCCUUUUUGUUUGAUUAAGUGCCAAAUUCCAGUAACAUUCCUCAGACUGCUUUACAACAGUGGCCUCGGCUGCAGCAAAUGAUCACCACCCUGCAACAACAGGUCUUAAAUUUACGUAGUGUUUAUAGAGAAAACAAAGUGGGACCUCCUAAGAAACCAGUCACUGUUCAGUCAGGGUGUGGUGGAGAUCGUCCUGGUAAAGUGCCACAUAUAGCUAAUCCACUCCAUGUGCUUGAAACCCGACACGGUGACCGACAGCAGAGGAACCACAAGACGGACUGGCCUGUCAGUGAUGGAGGGCUCCCUGGUGACCCAUCAGCACUCCCUAAUGAUCAUAUUCUUCAACUUCCAACAUCCACCCCCUGCCCCCCCCCUCCCCGAAAACAUGCAGCUCGGUCUGCUACAUGCAGAAGCAAUAUAGGAGCCAUACAGCAAACCACAGGGGUCACAGUCCAUACGUUCAUAGUAUUCAACAUAACAUUCAACUCAUACCACAAUAAAUAAGCAACUGUGAUUGGCCUGACUUAUUUCAGGUCAGAUAAAAAACUUGAUAAAUGGGAGAGGAUCAGACUGAUUACUUGGAGUACUUGAACACAUUACUAUUUAAACCAGUGGAUUAAAGUGAUCACCAAAGUUA